rnacentral:rRNA from 1 species
ACGCUCGACACCUAACGGGAGGCAGCAGUGGGGAAUAUUGCACAAUGGGGGAAACCCUGAUGCAGCGACGCCGCGUGAGCGAAGAAGUAUCUCGGUAUGUAAAGCUCUAUCAGCAGGGAAGAAGAUGACGGUACCUGACUAAGAAGCACCGGCUAAAUACGUGCCAACAGCCGCGGUAAUCUGAGCGGGCUGGCAAGGC